rnacentral:rRNA from 1 species
UGAGGAAUACAUCGGAAUCUACUUUUUCGUGGGGGAUAACGUAGGGAAACUUACGCUAAUACCGCAUACGACCUACGGGUGAAAGCAGGGGAUCUUCGGACCUUGCGCGAUUGAAUGAGCCGAUGUCGGAUUAGCUAGUUGGCGGGGUAAAGGCCCACCAAGGCGACGAUCCGUAGCUGGUCUGAGAGGAUGAUCAGCCACACUGGAACUGAGACACGGUCCAGACUCCUACGGGAGGCAGCAGUGGGGAAUAUUGGACAAUGGGCGCAAGCCUGAUCCAGCCAUACCGCGUGGGUGAAGAAGGCCUUCGGGUUGUAAAGCCCUUUUGUUGGGAAAGAAAUCCAGCUGGUUAAUACCCGGUUGGGAUGACGGUACCCAAAGAAUAAGCACCGGCUAACUUCGUGCCAGCAGCCGC